GUUCGAUUGAGAAUAAAUUCAUAUUCAUGCAUCAUUUAGGAGAACCCCUGAGAUAUGAUGAAAAGAAGAUUCUGAAAAAUUAACAUCUUCUUCAUUGGGAUUUCAGCCAGCAGAACCUGAGUCCAGACGGAACUCCACCAUCCUCAGCUGAGCCGAGACCUCCUUCCCCCCGGAAAGGGGUCGCACCACCACUGUUACACGAGGCGUAUGCUGCCAGCAGACUCCGAUUCACAUCGCAGCCCCACCGAACUGGAGGGUGACACCCAAGCUCUUUGAGCUCUCAUGUUCACAUCUGUCAAGAGACAUAGCACCGUCUAUAUCCCUGAUGUGGGCAGGUCCAAUGAGGAAAUGUAUAUAAAACUACCUAACACCCACCGAAGAGGUCACCUCUGCGGUAUCUUCAGGGUGAAGGGCAACAUGCCUCAGCCAGCAUGAUGCCACUUCUGCUCUUCAAGAGACACCGCUAACCCACAUUCUGGGUUAUUUCUCAAUAUCCUUUUCCAAGUCCUAUGCCUAUCAUUUGCCUGGAAGACCCCAUCCACCUUGACUGCCCUGGCUAAGUCCCACCUGUGCUUAGAAACCUGUUUGAGGUACAAAAGUGCUUCUUUAGGAUGUGGUCCUGGCUCAGCCGUCAGACUGGACUCGGAGCUAUGGAGCCCUUUCUAGAGCCUUCCACAAAGCCAGCCGCUGACGUUUCCUGGCAGGUGAUGGACAUGCCGGUGUUUCAUGAAGGCAGGUAGGAGGGGGAACUGUGUGGCAGGAGGAGGGGCUCCAGGACCAGGGCUGAUGCUGAUGAGGGGACAGCCUUUCUGCUCAUUUCGAAAGAGCCCUGGCGGUGUGGCACCAGUCUGAUCUCUCCCACUGCAAGAUUUUUCUAGAGAUGCACCAUUUUAAAAGUGGGUUAUUUCAUACCAAAAAUAAAACAUAAAAUGGUCAAUGGUCUAGAGCGAGG
rnacentral:lncRNA from 1 species